GACAGAGGGUGCGAACGUUGCUCGGAAUUACUGGGCGUAAAGCGCGCGUAGGCGGGCCGAUAAGUCGGUUGUGAAAUCCCUGAGCUCAACUCAGGAACUGCAUCCGAAACUGUCGGUCUAGAGUAGUGGAGAGGGAUGGCGGAAUUCCGGGUGUAGAGGUGAAAUUCGUAGAUAUCCGGAGGAACACCGGUGGCGAAGGCGGUUAGCUGGGCAGUUGCUGACACUGAGGCGCGACAGCGUGGGGGAGCAAACAGG
rnacentral:rRNA from 1 species